AUAUUGAUAGAAUUACAAUUGGCAAUAGAUAGGAAACCACAUAUGGGCUUUCAUUUGGUGCCAUGACCUUUGACCUUGAGUGACCUUGAAAGGUCAAACCCAAGGUCAUCUACUGUAUGUCCAGACUUCUAC